CCCAAGCCAGCCAGGAAGGAGGAGGCAGCCAGAGUGUUCUCUGCAGCAGAAGACCCCUUGCUGCCCUGCUUAACCCAGACCAGCAUUUGCCAGGUGACAAUAUUAUGAACUACACGAGCUGAAGCGGUGAGAUAGAUGACAAGAGCGCAAGUGGAGGAAGACACGGUGUGAGUCUGAUUGAAUACAACACAGAGAACAUUUGAAGAUCUCUGCUCUGGCAGUGUGGGCGGCAAAGAAGCAGUUCUUUUCUGCCAACAUUGCUUCCACAAAUUAACGUCCAGCCGGUGCUGGUCUAAGAUCUACAGUGUUGGCCGCAAGAGAGAGGUGAGAGUGCACUGUACUAGGAGUCACAGCAGGAGCUGGAAGAGAGGGGGAGUCACUCCAUCUUUACUCGCUUCUCACUGAUGGUGAGCAAGGGCUCCCUAGCUCUUGGGCCCAUUCGCCACACCUCUUUCAUGGAACAGAGCCUCCUUCAACACCCAAGAAACUGGAGUUGCUUUUCUACUUUAGGCAGAAGUUAAGUUCAGCUGAUACGGCCCGUGUGAAACUAUUGACCUGAAAUUUUACAACUGCAAUUGACAUGUUGAUGACAUGCUCUUAGGCUGACAUAAUCUAAAGGAAACUUCGGUUGUAUGUUCUUGUUAGGUAUCUAAGAAAUUGAUGUCUAUGCACCCGGUUGGAUCUUUAGGAUCUGGAGCUACUGAAAGGCUGCCUCAGCCAAAUAGGUCUUUUGAUAACCUAUAGAUUAAAAGACAGGUGUUGCACAUUUUGCUUGCUUUGAAGAAAAAGGUAAUGUAAUUCAGUCACCUGCCUGGUAUGGUUCUGUGAUACUGCAAGAUUAAAAAGAAACUGUAAGAAAUGGCUAAUUUUUACUGCCUCAUUGUCCGAGAUGAAGUCCUCUGAAUGAACCGACCAAGCUUAUCUUUCACCUGAAACCUCUCUGUGUGUAAUUAAGGAGAGCUGGUCUUGUGGUAGCAAGCAUGAAUUGUCACCUUUGCUAAGCAGGGUCUGCCCUGGUUUGCAUUUGGAUAGGAGACUAGAAGUGUGAGUACUGUAAGCUAUUCCCCUUAGGGGAUUGGGCUGCUCUGGGAAGAGCAUCUAGGUUCCAAGUUCCCUUCCUGGCAUCUCCAAGAUAGGGCUGAGAGAGACUCCUGCCUGAAAUCUUGGAGAAGCCGCUGCCAGUCUCUGUAGACAAUACUGAGCUAGAUGGACCAAGGGUCUGACUCAACAUAUGACAGCUUCCUAUGUCCCUAUGAAGGGUACCCUGUGGUUGUACAUAAUACAGCCCAAACCUGCUUAGGGGAGUUAUCAAACCUAGGUCCCCAGAUGCUGCUGGACUACAACUCCCAUUAUUCCCAGCCACAAUGGCCAAAGGCUGUGGAUGAUGGGAGCUGUAGUUCAACAAUCUCUGGGGAUCCAAAUUUGAGAACCCUUGCCUUAGGCCAUAAGAAUAUACACAUUACCUUUCUGACAGGGUCUACUAUGAUCCCAGAAGAAGCGUUUCAAGUUUUCAGUACCCAUGUUCAGACAUUGUAUUGUAUGUGUAUGCAGGUAUCUGCACACAUGUACACAUUUUUUGUGAAUGACUGUACAUGCAUUCAUUUUGUGAACCUGAGCACAGACCCCCUUAAAGGCACAGCACAGGUAGGAAGUUCACUGCUGUACAUGCGUUCAACAUAACAUGUGAACAACUGUAUGUGCACACAAAUUUAUAUGCGUAUACGGUGUACACAGAUUGAACAUGUGUUUAACAUAACAAGUCUAUAGGGCUGAUUUCUGCACUUAAAAGACCACCUUUUCGACUCACACUUAUUGGCUUUAAUUUAAUCACUUUCCUUAGGGGAAAAAAAGCUUCUAUUUUAAUAGAUGAAAUUUCAUAGUCUGCUACAAUCAUGAAAUUUUGGCCGUACCUGAGUUCUCUUCAGACUGGUUGAAGCCGCAGAUCUGGCAAAU